UACUGGAAAAAAAUGAAGGAAAUUUGGGCUUAUGGCCCAAUCGAAACCUAAGAUGAAGCAAAGAGAGGGGAUCUAUUCCAUGCAUCCACCAACCUGCGAACCAUCCCCUAAUAUCUCACUUCAUUCUUCCACAAAUAAACCGGUGAACAUUUAAGUGACUCCGCCGCGCCGGAACUCAUCGUCGGCGGCGGCGGAGCUCCUAAGCCUCAAACUCACGCCGCUCUCACCAUCCCCAAACUCUCGAUUCUGAAUCCUCAACUAAACUCUCUUAAUCCCUACCUAAACAAGUGAACUGAAUCGUGAUCUCUCACGAGCUUCAAUCAAAAUUCAGAAUCCGAUCCUCUCACGGAGGAAUCUAAGAUCUCAAAACCGACUCGACAAUGACGAAACCCAGUGAAUCGACGGAUUACCUAAUCGUGAAGGUGACCGUGUGGAACUAACGAGACGGAUGAAUGUGAACUCAAGUGUGCAGCUCCUUCGGAAUCUCUUCUAUACUCUCUUCUGUCCGGCGGUGAUGAUCGAAGAUCCGCGGUUCAAUUCGCAAGUAUUGUUGAGGUGCGGCGAGAGUUAUGGGAAGUGCGGCCGAGAUUCGAUUCAACCGAGAGGAUUAUGCAGGCGGCGGUGAAUGUGGCGCGAGAAUAAGAAAAUAGGAUUUCUGGAAUCCAAAUCGAGGGGGCAAAAAAAUUACGGUGAUCACGUAUUUAUAUAGACUUUGAAUGUUCGGUUUUGUUAGCUUGAAUGUCGUUUUGGUGCAGCAACUUGGAUUGUCGUUUGGAUGCAGCGUUUGCGUUUCACAUUGGAUUACUUACAUUGCGUUGUUGUUUUCCUUUGCUUUUGUGGAUGGUUGUUUCACGUCAUUUACGGCUUGUGUUGUCGUUCGCAUUUGUGCUGCAGUUUUGCGUUGCCGUUUGGCUUUUCACUGGCGUUUUUCUUGGCUUCAACUUGCGUUUUGACGCUGGUACUUUCAAUUGCCAUAAUGCCUACGUGUACUCAACCUUGCCAUGUAUUUUUUUGUCUUAUUUGGAAUAUCAUUAGAUCUAAGUAAUGGAUAUUUGGAUGUAAUGUGUAUAAAAUGGUUUAUGGAAUUUAUUUUUAAAAUGGAUGUGGAUAAACUGAUUUUGAGGUAAUGAUAAAUGGAUUUGGAUUUGGGAA